CGGAUCUCUUGGUUCUGGCAUCGAUGAAGAACGCAGCGAAAUGCGAUAAGUAAUGUGAAUUGCAGAAUUCAGUGAAUCAUCGAAUCUUUGAACGCACAUUGCGCCCCUUGGUAUUCCGGGGGGCAUGCCUGUUCGAGCGUCAUUACAACCCUCAAGCU
rnacentral:rRNA from 1 species